GUCGAGAAUAAUUCACAAUGGACGAAAGUCUGAUGGUGCAACGCCGCGUGGAGGAUGAAGGUCUUCGGAUUGUAAACUCCUGUCAUCGGGGAGUAAGACCUGGCGGUAAAUAGCCGACAGGGUUGAUAGUACCCGAAGAGGAAGGGACGGCUAACUUCGUGCCAGCAGCCGCGGUAAUACGAAGGUCCCAAGCGUUGUUCGGAAUCACUGGGCGUAAAGGGAGCGUAGGCGGCGUGGUAAGUCAGAUGUGAAAUCCCGGGGCUCAACCCCGGAACUGCAUCCGAUACUGCAAUGCUUGAGGGUUGGAGAGGUAGCUGGAAUUCUCGGUGUAGCAGUGAAAUGCGUGGAUAUCGAGAGGAACACUCGUGGCGAAGGCGAGCUACUGGACAACAUCUGACGCUGAGGCUCGAAGGCCAGGGGAGCAAAAGGGAUUAGAAACCCCAGUAGUCC
rnacentral:rRNA from 1 species